AGAGUUUGAUCCUGGCUCAGAUUGAACGCUGGCGGCAUGCCUUACACAUGCAAGUCGAACGGCAGCACGGGGGCAACCCUGGUGGCGAGUGGCGAACGGGUGAGUAAUGCAUCGGAACGUGCCCAGUAGUGGGGGAUAACUAGUCGAAAGAUUAGCUAAUACCGCAUACGACCUACGGGUGAAAGCGGGGGACCUUUACCGGCCUCGCGCUAUCGGAGCGGCCGAUGUCUGAUUAGCUAGUUGGCGGGGUAAAAGCCCACCAAGGCGACGAUCAGUAGCUGGUCUGAGAGGACGACCAGCCACACUGGGACUGAGACACGGCCCACACUCCUACGGGAGGCAGCAGUGGGGAAUUUUGGACAAUGGGCGCAAGCCUGAUCCAGCCAUGCCGCGUGCGAAAAAGAAGGCCUUCGGGUUGUAAACCGCUUUUGGCAGGAACGACACGGCGCGAGCGAAUAUCUCGCGUUAAUGACGGUACCUGCAGAAUAAGCACCGGCUAACUACGUGCCAGCAGCCGCGGUAAUACGUAGGGUGCAAGCGUUAAUCGGAAUUACUGGGCGUAAAGCGUACGCAGGCGGCUUUGCAAGACAGGUGUGAAAUCCCCGGGCCCUAACCUGAGAACUGCAUUUGUGACUGCAUGGCUAGAGUUGUCAGAGGGGGGGGUAGUACUCCCACGUGUA
rnacentral:rRNA from 1 species